rnacentral:lncRNA from 1 species
GAGAGCUUUGAGAUGAGGUCACUCUGCUUCUUGCUCUUGCCACCUGCUGCCAUCCUACCCUACAGUUAUGGACUCUCAAUCCUGAACUGUAAGCCAAAUAAACACUUCCUUAGUCAUGGACUUUUAUCCCUGCAACAAAAUGUAACUGGUACAGCAAUGUCCUCCUCAUUUCUGCCUUGUAUCUUGCCUUCCAGCUGGAGUGACUGUCUUCUGCUUUGUGGACAGAAUUGGGCUAAAUGCUGUCACUCAACCCUUUCCAGAGAGAGAAAGCUCCUUUGCCUAUAUUUUUCUUAGUGUUGUAUUUUAGUGUAUUUUUUCACCCCACAACCCAGUUUUUUUCUUUGUUUCCUUGUUUGUUUUGCUUAAACUACGAAUGUAUUUUUUUGUAUUAUAAUGCACUUUCUUUUACUUUUUUCUUUUUUUAUUAGAUAUUUUCUUUAUUUAUAUCUCAAAUGUUAUCCCGUUUCCUAGUUUCCUCUCUGAAAAUCCUCUAUCCCCUCCCACCUCCCAUUGCUCCCCAACACACCCACUCUUGCUUCCUGACCCUAGCAUUCCCUAUCCCGGCCAUUCCAAGAUCCAAAUAUUCUAAAUAAUCCCACCAUCUAAACAGAUUUCUAGAGACUCAGAAAGAUAAAAGGAUGAAAACCGUGGGAGUAGACAGGGGCUGGCAGGGAGACACUGAAUUUCUGUCUCAAUAGUGUUUCUCUUACUGAUUGCAGUUUGUGAGGUUUCAGGAUUCUUGGAAGAUUUCUCAUCUAAUCCACUCUACCUGCAUGUAUAAAGAAAACAUCGUGGUCUUUUAGUAUAAUCUAAAAAUUCUUGGUAGCAGAGGCCCCUCUUAUCCGACAAGAAUCCUAGUGUCUGUUUCAGAAGCUUGUGACCACAGCUCCGAUGACAUCUCAUCUCUGCUGUGUGUGUGCCAUCAUAUGUCUAUGUCUAGAUGAAUAUUACAAACCACUCAUUCUCCCAUCUGCUCACCCAGAGCUCUCUGAAAGCAGACUUGUAAUAAAUGAACAAUGUUCUGAGAAGUGCUUCUGUGUUUGUCCAGAAUGCCCUGCUCCCACAUGAUGCCUUUUCCAGUACUUUCUGCUGCCUUUGUCUUGUUUCUCUGCCUUCUCUCCUAUCUCACUACUGUUUCUAGACUUCUCUGGCCUCUUUAGCUCAAUUUCCGUUUGAUCUUUAGCUCACUGACCAGGUCUUAUGAUGAGUCAUACUCAUUAGCCCAACUCAUGUUGUGUCUCAUGACUUUUGUCUGUCGCUCUAACCUUUUGGUCAUAGUGGUCAUGCGGUUCUCGGUGUCUCUGCUAGAUUUGAUGGCUCUGUAAUUAAGUGUGAGUUAAUUUUUUGCCAUGCUGUUUAUGAAACCUCUAUGUCAUACAUUCUGUCUCUGCUGAUUAUGCCUUGUUAGCGAUAUAAUCCUAUCAGCUAUCAUCACUGAUACAUAUCCAUACAUCACCACAUGCGUCUCUGAAAUAACUCAUUCCUCUUUUAUUUGUUACACUUCUUAAUAAAGUUAGAAACUUCAGAGCCCCCUGAAUUUUCAAAACUUAGCUACCUCUAACUGCAUAUUCAAAUAAUGGAACAACUUUUGCUUCUUUUUAUGUCUCUGAAUUAUGUUCCCACAUAACUAGCUACUUUCUGCAUAUAAAAUUCGUAUUCCUGUUCUAAUGAAUACAAAGUGUUUCCUUUCAAAUUGCGGCUGAGUUUUAAAGAUAAUUUUAGAUGCAAUUUACCUCAUUCAUGAUUUGAAAAUGAUUAUAUACAUUCUUACUUCCUAAUACUCCCAUUGUUUGAUUGCUGUUAGGAAUUGUCAGUCGUCUCCAUUGUCCUGUAAAACAUCUUUUCCGUAGUUUUUAUAAGCAGAGCCUUGAUCAAGGGCCUCAUUACCUUCCCUGGAGGAAUGAGGGCCUGGCUUCUUAUGCAUACCCUCUUGCCAAGUGAGCACUUUUACAGUUAUCUUUUUAAAAUAUGUCACUCUGGAUAAGGUACUUUCAAACUUAAAAUCAUUCAUUGUCUUG